GCGUCUGCCCGUGAAAAGUCCCGGGGCUCAACUCCGGAUCUGCGGUGGGUACGGGCAGACUAGAGUGAUGUAGGGGAGACUGGAAUUCCUGGUGUAGCGGUGAAAUGCGCAGAUAUCAGGAGGAACACCGAUGGCGAAGGCAGGUCUCUGGGCAUUAACUGACGCUGAGGAGCGAAAGCAUGGGGAGCGAACAGGAUUAGAUACCCUGGUAGUCCAUGCCGUAAACGUUGGGCACUAGGUGUGGGGGACAUUCCACGUUUUCCGCGCCGUAGCUAACGCAUUAAGUGCCCCGCCUGGGGAGUACGGCCGCAAGGCUAAAACUCAAAGGAAUUGACGGGGGCCCGCACAAGCGGCGGAGCAUGCGGAUUAAUUCGAUGCAACGCGAAGAACCUUACCAAGGCUUGACAUGAACCGGAAAUACCUGGAAACAGGUGCCCCGCUUGCGGUCGGUUUACAGGUGGUGCAUGGUUGUCGUCAGCUCGUGUCGUGAGAUGUUGGGUUAAGUCCCGCAACGAGCGCAACCCUCGUUCUAUGUUGCCAGCGCGUGAUGGCGGGGACUCAUAGGAGACUGCCGGGGUCAACUCGGAGGAAGGUGGGGACGACGUCAAAUCAUCAUGCCCCUUAUGUCUUGGGCUUCACGCAUGCUACAAUGGCCGGUACAAAGGGUUGCGAUACUGUGAGGUGGAGCUAAUCCCAAAAAGCCGGUCUCAGUUCGGAUUGGGGUCUGCAACUCGACCCCAUGAAGUCGGAGUCGCUAGUAAUCGCAGAUCAGCAACGCUGCGGUGAAUACGUUCCCGGGCCUUGUACACACCGCCCGUCAAGUCACGAAAGUUGGUAACACCCGAAGCCGGUGGCCUAACCCCUUGUGGGAGGGAGCUGUCGAAGGUGGGACUGGCGAUUGGGACAAGUCAAC
rnacentral:rRNA from 1 species